rnacentral:rRNA from 1 species
CCUACGGGAGGCAGCAGUGGGGAAUAUUGGACAAUGGGGGCAACCCUGAUCCAGCAAUUCUGUGUGCACGAUGAAGGUCUUCGGAUUGUAAAGUGCUUUCAGCGGGGAAGAAAAAAAUGACGGUACCUGCAGAAGAAGCGACGGCUAAAUACGUGCCAGCAGCCGCGGUAAUACGUAUGUCGCGAGCGUUAUCCGGAAUUAUUGGGCAUAAAGGGCAUCUAGGCGGCCGGAUAAGUCUGGGGUGAAAACUUGCGGCUCAACCGCAAGCCUGCCCUGGAAACUAUGCGGCUAGAGUACUGGAGAGGUGGACGGAACUGCACGAGUAGAGGUGAAAUUCGUAGAUAUGUGCAGGAAUGCCGAUGAUGAAGAUAGUUCACUGGACGGUAACUGACGCUGAAGUGCGAAAGCUAGGGGAGCAAACAGGAUUAGAUACCCUGGUAGUCCUAGCUGUAAACGAUGAUUACUGGGUGUGGGCAUGAAGAGUGUCCGUGCCGAAGCAAAUGCGAUAAGUAAUCCGCCUGGGGAGUACGGCCGCAAGGCUGAAACUCAAAGGAAUUGACGG